rnacentral:tRNA from 1 species
AAGGGUGUAGCUCAGUGGUAGAGUGCAUCCCUAGCAAUUAUGAGGUCCUGGGUUCAAUCCCCAGUACCUCCA